UUUGUUGGUUAACAAUGGUGGUUUGGUGGUGGUGGUGGUUUGGUGGGCCGCGGAAUGAUACCGGAUCUCUUCUCUCGAUAUGCUUCAACAUCACUGAUUCACUGCCUGCCUCUUUCAUAAUCACGACCAUCAUCAAGGAUUUAAUUGUGAAGCAUGAAGAAAAACCAGAAUUGUUGGCGUAAUCGGAGAGCCACUGCACAUGGGUAAAGUCACCUGAUCAUUACAAGGAACCAAAUCUAUAUUCUGAGCUGCCGAAAUUACAUCUUUCUAUCUCAGUUGAAGAGAAACAUAAAAAUGUAUAUUUGCCUCAUCUUCAUUUACUGGUCCAAGAACUACACACAUAUUUUUUGCAUUGUUACCAACAAUGUUACAAUUUGGGAUUUUGCCACUUGCUCAUUUUCUUUGCUAAAUAAGAACAUUAAUUAUGUUAGAAUUCGAGUCUUCAACAAAAUCUUAUGAGAAUGCUAUACAUUGGACAUAGUUCCAACUGCAAGGGUGAAAACAAUAGAUAAGAGAGCUAAAAAGAUAUGCUCUGCGUUUUGUAUAGUUAGUGUUAUAGUUUGUUGAAGUGAAAUCCCAAGAUUAAAUAAAUUA